rnacentral:rRNA from 1 species
AUUGAACGCUGGCGGCAGGCUUAACACAUGCAAGUCGAGCGGAGUGAGGGUGCUUGCACCUUAGCUUAGCGGCGGACGGGUGAGUAAUGCUUAGGAAUCUGCCUAUUAGUGGGGGACAACAUUCCGAAAGGAAUGCUAAUACCGCAUACGCCCUACGGGGGAAAGCAGGGGAUCUUCGGACCUUGCGCUAAUAGAUGAGCCUAAGUCGGAUUAGCUAGUUGGUGGGGUAAAGGCCUACCAAGGCGACGAUCUGUAGCGGGUCUGAGAGGAUGAUCCGCCACACUGGGACUGAGACACGGCCCAGACUCCUACGGGAGGCAGCAGCGGGGAAUAUUGGACAAUGGGCGGAAGCCUGAUCCAGCCAUGCCGCGUGUGUGAAGAAGGCCUUUUGGUUGUAAAGCACUUUAAGCGAGGAGGAGGCUCUUAAGGUUAAUACCCUUGAUGAGUGGACGUUACUCGCAGAAUAAGCACCGGCUAACUCUGUGCCAGCCGCCGCGGUAACAC